CUACGGGCCGCUGCAGUGAGGAAUUUUGCGCAAUGGGGGCAACCCUGACGCAGCAACGCCGCGUGAGUGAAGAAGGCCCUUGGGUCGUAAAGCUCUGUCAAUGGGGAAGAAGUUACUUGGUAUUAAUAGUGCCUUGUAUUGACGGUACCCAUGAAGGAAGCACCGGCUAGCUCCGUGCCAGCAGCCGCGGUAAUACGGGGGGUGCAAGCGUUAUUCGGAAUUAUUGGGCGUAAAGGGCACGCAGGCGGUCCUGUCAGUCAGAUGUGAAAGCCCAGGGCUCAACCCUGGACGUGCAUUUGAAACAGCAGGACUUGAGUACGGGAGAGGAAAGGGGAAUUCCUGGUGUAGAGGUGAAAUUCGUAGAUAUCAGGAGGAACACCGGUGGCGAAGGCGCCUUUCUGGACCGAUACUGACGCUGAGGUGCGAAGGCGUGGGUAGCGAACGGGAUUAGAUACCCCAGUAGUC
rnacentral:rRNA from 1 species